rnacentral:rRNA from 1 species
AGUCACUGACAUUAGAUACCCGGGUAGUCCAGGGUGUAAACGCUGCAGACUUGGUGUUGGGGCCCUUUGGGGGCAUUCAGUGCCGGAGAGAAGUUGUUAAGUCUGCUACUUGGGAGUACGUCCGCAAGGAUGAAACUUAAAGGAAUUGGCGGGGGAGCACCGCAACGGGAGGAGCGUGCGGUUUAAUUGGAUUCAACACCGUAAAACUCACCAGGGAAGACUGUUACAUGAAGGCCGAGAUGAAGACUCUGCUAGAUUUUCAG